AAUCACAAAUUUAAGAACUUAAGAAAUACUGUCUGGUGCUGCGUUGGGAUAUAUCAGGAUUCAUACCGUAUCACCAAACCCUUGCCAGUACCCCCCCUCUUUACUAUUGAAACAAGCUUGAUGUCCGCUGUAUGAACUUUCGGACGAUUCGUUUGGAUGUAGGAAAACAAAAAUGAUCAUUUCUAUUUUUAUUGCAUCAUUUCAAACUUUCUGGAGAAGCAAAGAAAACAGCAGAGAGGUUUGUGUCCCGGGGAUGUUUUGGUGUCAGGAACGAUCAGCUCAGAGGAUGUCACGGCUCUGUCUGUUGGGUGGAGUUUCUCCCGUCACUAUCUCUGAGCCAGAUCUUCCUCAGCGCCGAGGUCUGGUGCCAGCGAGUCCGGCAGACCCUCAGGGACCGGAGACGGACCGACCGGCGCUGCAGCUGUCCGGGGUGGUCAGAGUCUCUUCCUCCAGUGUCUCACAUGAGGUCCAGCAGGCUGAGUUACUGCAGAGAUGUUCCAUGAGGUCAGCGAGGAGAUGCUGUUACACAACCAGGAGACAGCUGAGGGGAGCUCCUGCAGCGCCGCAGACCCCCCAGGGCCGUUCACACCUGAUUACCAACUCUUUGUCACCAGUCCUGAUGGGGGGUGGAUGUCCCGGAACGAAAAGAGUAAACGGUGAUGAAGAAAAAUGAAAGAAUAGCAGCUAAAAUGUGAAGUUUCAAGCAGAAAAAUGUCUUUUUUGAUUGUUUAACACUCAUUUUGGGAUAGAUUAUCAAUAAACCACAUCUGCACAUUACAUUACUCAUAAAUCUGCACCUAAAGAAAGCAAAACAAAAACAUUAUAAAAGUGGAGGAAGAGGAAAAGACCGUGGCUUCUCUGUGACAGUCCAGAGAAAACGUGUGACCACAAAGCUGCUGUCAAAGCAGAAGACGCCGGGAGGGCGGGGCGUCCCGCGCCGACGCUCCGAGGAUCCUGCAGAUCUGAUAAAGGCCCGAAGAGAGCCCUUUCCUUCCUGAGCCGAGGACUGUUUGUGUUAGAGCGAUCUGCGCCUCUUCUUCUGGGUGUGGGAACCGGCUCCUCCCAGAGUUCACGGUUUCCUCUGACGGCCGCCGUCCAACCGGAGAGGAGAUCAGGAUUCCAGUUUGUGGAGGUUUGGAACAGCAAAGCAAAAAAUACAAAAAAGCUAAAAUGUUAAAAGUCCAAUCUGUUUCAGUUCUGGUCAAAUAAUUUAAAAAUAUUCCAGUUUUCCUUCCUGAACCACGUGACAGUGGAGAUAAAUGAGUUCUCACUGGGAGAAAAAGAACCAGAACUCAUGAAAGAGCCGAUCUUUCAGAACCAAAGAGUCCAAGAAAACAAGAAGAACAAGCAAAAAUCAGGAAAGAGAGGUCACACAUGCUUCACUUUUCUCCUCUUUUCCUGCUCCUUUAAAGACCAACUCCUAUUAAAAUCACUUUUUCUGU